rnacentral:rRNA from 1 species
AGAAGCAGCCAUCAUUUAAAGAAAGCGUAAUAGCUCACUGGUCGAGUCGGCCUGCGCGGAAGAUGUAACGGGGCUAAACCAUGCACCGAAGCUGCGGCAGCGAACGUAUCACUUAAAGCGAUUCAGCGGGUUACGAUUGACGGAGCGAAGCGACGUCAAAGCGUAUACAAAGUCGAGUCGGUUUAAGGAUACGUUCGUUGGGUAGGGGAGCGUUCUGUAAGCCUGCGAAGGUGGCCUGUGAGGGUUGCUGGAGGUAUCAGAAGUGCGAAUGCUGACAUAAGUAACGAUAAAGCGGGUGA